rnacentral:rRNA from 1 species
UACAGAGGGUGCGAGCGUUAAUCGGAAUUACUGGGUGUAAAGCGUGCGUAGACGGUUGUCUAAGUCGGAUGUGAAAGCCCCGGGCUCAACCUGGGAAUUGCAUUCGAGACUGAACAGCUAGGGUGCGGAAGAGGGAAGCGGAAUUUCCGGUGUAGCAGUGAAAUGCGUAGAUAUCGGAAGGAACAUCAGUGGCGAAAGCGGCUUCCUGGUCCAGCACCGACGUUCAGGCACGAAAGCGUGGGGAGCAAACAGG